UACGUAGGUGGCAAGCGUUGUUCGGAUUUACUGGGCGUAAAGGGCGCGUAGGUGGUUCUGUAUGUCUGCCGUGAAAGGGUACAGCUUAACUGUAGCUUGUCGGUAGAAACUGCAGGACUUGAGGCUGGGAGGGGCUGGUGGAAUUCCCUGUGUAGCGGUGAAAUGCGUAGAGAUGGGGGAGAACACUCGUGGCGAAGGCGGCCAGCUAGACCAGUUCUGACACUGAGGCGCGACAGCGUGGGGAGCAAACAGG
rnacentral:rRNA from 1 species